UACGAAGGGGGCGAGCGUUGUUCGGAUUUACUGGGCGUAAAGGGCGCGCAGGCGGUCUUGAAAGUCAGGCGUGAAAGCCCCGGGCUUAACCUGGGAAUUGCGCUUGAUACUCUGAGACUGGAGUACGGGAGAGGAGAGUGGAAUUCCCAGUGUAGAGGUGAAAUUCGUAGAUAUUGGGAAGAACACCGGUGGCGAAGGCGGCUCACUGGCUCAUUUCUGACGCUCAGGCGCGACAGCGUGGGGAUCAAACAGG
rnacentral:rRNA from 1 species